GUCUACAGCCACAUUACCCUGAACAUAUCCAAUCUCAUCUGAUCUCAAAAGCUAAGCUUGGUUAGGCCUGGCUAGCAUUUGGAUGGAGGUAGUGUUAGGUA
rnacentral:rRNA from 14 species